ensembl:lncRNA
GUAAUAAAUGUGUGGAUUAGUUUUCCUGCAUCUCGAAGGAAUAGGACUUUUCUGAUUUUGGUGGACAGGAGAUGGAGAUGUGCUGAUGCCACCUUCUGCGCCUAGAGGAAGAACUGAAGCAAGUGUGGCGGUUCAGUAGUCUUAUCAGCCAGCCUCUGGCUCCCAGCACAGUUUUUGCCGAGAACGGAAACCCUAUUCUGAAGAUGAAUCACUCAGCCACUCUGAAGGGCGGACCAAUCAGCGAUCAGUGGGGUGGAGACCCAGGCCCAAAAGAAUUGCAGUGUGGCCAAACACCAGCACCUCACAGGAUCUCCCUGGUCUACACCCCUGCCUGUGGAAAGUGCCUUUACAGCUCCUCAUGAUCCCACCGAACUGGAUCAGUCAGCAGAAAAGAGCUGACUUUGGUCUAAUUUGUGUUAUGAAAGGAAAGGAGGGAAAAACACUGGCCUCAUAAGGCUGCAGGCGUAUGUUGGCACAGACUUCACAAACCAUCAGGACUGCGGAGGCUGAAGUGGCAUGUUUUUCUUAUCAUGACUCUUUCCCCUUCUCCCUCUCUCUAUUCCUGCCUCUCUCUUUCUGGAAGACAUCAAGUGCGGGCAAAAGUGUUGAGUUAAAAAAGUGCUCACAGCAAUAUUAAUGGGGGACAGGCAUAUGUGACCUCGGAGAGGUAAAUAUGCUACUUAGAGUGGUUUCAUAUUUAAGGCUAUACUCAAAGGUUGUCCUGCGGGGCAUUGAGAACAUCUUUUUGCAUUCUGUAAAACUCCAGAAACUGUCAGAUGACAUCGACCUCAAUAUUUCCCAUUAUUACUUAAUAAAAUAAUGUACCUAAAUGUUAUUCUGUACAUUAAGGGACUAAAUGUUAUUCUGUACAUUAAGGGACUGAAUGUUAUUCUGUACAUUAAGGGACUAAAUGUUAUUCUGUACAUUAAGGGACUAAAUGUUAAUCUGUACAUUAAGGGACUGAAUGUUAUUCUGUACAUUAAGGGACUAAAUGUUAUUCUGUACAUUAAGGGACUAAAUGUUAUUCAUGAUGUACAUUAAGGGACUAAAUGUUAUUCUGUACAUUAGGGGACUAAAUGUUAUUCUGUACAUUAAGGGACUAAAUGUUAUUCAUGAUGUACAUUAAGGGACUAAAUGUUAUUCUGUACAUUAGGGGACUAAAUAUUAUUCUGUACAUUAAGGGACUGAAUGUUUUUCUGUACAUUAAGGGACUGAAUGUUAUUCUGUACAAUAAGGGACUAAAUGUUAUUCAUGAUGUACAUUAAGGGACUAAAUGUUAUUCUGUACAUUAAGGGACUAAAUGUUAUUCUGUACAUUAAGGGACUAAACGUUAUUCUGUACAUUAAGGGACCAAACGUUAUUCUGUACAUUAAGGGACUGAAUGUUAUUCUGUACAUUAAGGGACUAAAUGUUAUUCUGUACAUUAAGGGACUAAAUGUUAUUCUGUACAUUAAGGGACUAAACGUUAUUCUGUACAUUAAGGGACUAAACGUUAUUCUGUACAUUAAGGGACUGAAUGUUAUUCUGUACAUUAAGGGACUAUGUGUUUGUGUGCGACUACCAGAUAAAAGCUUGAAGGAAGCAGUGAGUAGAAAUAAUGAGCCAGAACCUCCUGAUGAUCACAGAUGAGACGGAUCAAAGAAGUGGAUCAUAGGUCUUUUCUGGGUUAACUUUCCACAAUGUUUGGUCCAGAUUUGAAAAAACAGUGUACAAGUUAAAUGAUCAAGAAUAUAAAAAAAUGGGGAAGUAAAAUGGAGGAAGGAGCUACUUCUAUGUGAGGACAUCCUCUUGCAACGGAUCCUGUCUAGACUCCUAUACUGCCUUACACAAAACCUGUGCAUAAAAUGGCCAUUAUUCAUGAAAUAUAUCAC